GAUGAACGCUGGCGGCGUGCCUAAUACAUGCAAGUCGAGCGAACAGACGAGGAGCUUGCUCCUCUGACGUUAGCGGCGGACGGGUGAGUAACACGUGGAUAACCUACCUAUAAGACUGGGAUAACUUCGGGAAACCGGAGCUAAUACCGGAUAAUAUAUUGAACCGCAUGGUUCAAUAGUGAAAGACGGUUUUGCUGUCACUUAUAGAUGGAUCCGCGCCGCAUUAGCUAGUUGGUAAGGUAACGGCUUACCAAGGCGACGAUGCGUAGCCGACCUGAGAGCGUGGUCCGCCACACUGGAACUGAGACACGGUCCAGACUCCUACAGGAGGCAGCAGUAGGGAAUCUUCCGCAAUGGGCGAAAGCCUGACGGAGCAACGCCGCGUGAGUGAUGAAGGUCUUCGGAUCGUAAAACUCUGUUAUUAGGGAAGAACAAAUGUGUAAGUAACUAUGCACGUCUUGACGGUACCUAAUCAGAAAGCCACGGCUAACUACGUG
rnacentral:rRNA from 1 species